AACACAUUAAACGACCACAGGUUAUUUAUUUCUCUUGUUGAUAGUGUAGUUUCUUUCAAACAUUUUCUUUUUAAAUAAUUGAAAUAAAUAUUUUUUAAACAUGACAUCUGAAUCCAACGUAAAACCCAUGAGUUUAUCGAAAGGAAAUGAAUUUGUUGGAACAGGAAUUCCUUCACUGGACGCUGUUAUAGGUGGAGGGUAUCCUGUGGGAUCACUUGUUCUGAUAAGUAAGGUGAU